rnacentral:miRNA from 1 species
UGUGUGUGUGUGUGUGUGUGUGUGUGUGCGCGCGCGUGCGCGUGCACACACACACACACACACACACGCU